rnacentral:rRNA from 1 species
AUUGAACGCUGGCGGCAGGCCUAACACAUGCAAGUCGAACGAGUGGCGGACGGGUGAGUAAUGUCUGGGAAACUGCCUGAUGGAGGGGGAUAACUACUGGAAACGGUAGCUAAUACCGCAUACCAUCGGAUGUGCCCAGAUGGGAUUAGCUAGUAGGUGGGGUAACGGCUCACCUAGGCGACGAUCCCUAGCUGGUCUGAGAGGAUGACCCGCCACACUGGAACUUAGACACUGUCCAGACUCCUACGGGAGGCAGCAGUGGGGAAUAUUGCACAAUGUGCGCACUCCUGAUACAGCCAUGCCGCGUGUAUGAAGAAGGCCUUCGGGUUUUAAAGUUCUUUCAGCGAGGAGGCGUUACCCGCAGAAGAAGCACCGGCUAACUCCGUGCCAGCCGCCGCGGUAAUAC